rnacentral:rRNA from 1 species
UUGUUCUUUAAAUGAGGACUAGUAUCAACGGCAUCACGAGGAUCCUACUGUCUCCCCCCUCUAAUCAGUGAAACUGAUCUCCCCGUGAAGAAGCGGGGAUAUACAUAUAAGACGAGAAGACCCCAUGGAGCUUUAAACCUGACAGCACCCGCUCAUUCUAUACCCCAUUAUUUGCCCGACCCCUGUCUGCUCAGUUUUAGGUUGGGGUGACCACGGAGUAUAAAAUAACCUCCAUGAAGAAGGGGAUAUUUCCCUUAUUAGAGAACCACACUUCCAAGAACUAAUAAAUUAAUUUUCAAUGACCCGAUACCCGAUAAUCGAUCAACGAACCAAGUUACCCUGGGGAUAACAGCGCAAUCCACCCUGAAAGCCCUUAUUAACAGGUGGGUUUACGACCUC